UACGUAGGGGGCAAGUGUUGUCCGGAUUUAUUGGGCGUAAAGAGCGUGUAGGCGGUUAGGUAGGUCCGUUGUGAAAACUCGAGGCUCAACCUCGAGACGCCGAUGGAAACCAUCUGACUAGAGUCCGGAAGAGGAGAGUGGAAUUCCUGGUGUAGCGGUGAAAUGCGCAGAUAUCAGGAAGAACACCCGUGGCUAAGGCGGCUUUUGGUCUGUAACUGACGCUGAGGCGUGAAAGCGUGGGGAGCAACAGGG
rnacentral:rRNA from 1 species